AUCCAACUAAUGAGUCCUAAAUAAGACGAAACGCGAGUCCUGAAU
rnacentral:hammerhead_ribozyme from 1 species